CUUCUUCUUCUCCCCCCAGGGGCAAUUCUAGGAUCAGAGCUUUAGGGGUGCCUGGCACCCUUUCAACGUAACAUUUUUAAACGUUAUUCUACUGUGCA